CAAGUCGAACGCUGUAGCAAUACAGAGUGGCGCACGGGUGAGUAACACGUGGGAAUAUGCCCUUUAGUAUGGAAUAACCAAGGGAAACUUUGGCUAAUACCGUAUACGCCCCCCUUUCAAGACUAAUAGAGUCAAAAAUAACUCCGUUAUUUUUGAUGGGGGGGAAAGAUUUAUCGCUAAAGGAUUAGCCCGCGCGAGAUUAGCUAGUUGGUGAGGUAAUGGCUCACCAAGGCUAUGAUCUCUAGCUGGUCUGAGAGGACGACCAGCCACACUGGAACUGAGACACGGUCCAGACUCCUACGGGAGGCAGCAGUGGGGAAUAUUGGACAAUGGGCGAAAGCCUGAUCCAGCCAUGCCGCGUGAGUGAUGAAGGCCUUAGGGUUGUAAAGCUCUUUUGCCGGGGAAGAUAAUGACGGUACCCGGAGAAUAGGCUCCGGCUAACUUCGUGCCAGCAGCCGCGGUGAUAGGAAGGGAGCUAGCGUUGUUCGGAAUUACUGGGCGUAAAGCGCGCGUAGGUGGUCAUACAAGUCAGAGGUGAAAUCCCACGGCUCAACCGUGGAACUGCCUUUGAAACUGUAUGGCUAGAGUUCGGAAGAGGAGAGUGGAAUUCCUAAUGUAGAGGUGAAAUUCGUAGAUAUUAGGAGGAACACCAGUGGCGAAGGCGGCUCUCUGGUCCGACACUGACACUGAGGCGCGAAAGCGUGGGUAGCAAACAGGAUUAGAUACCCUGGUAGUCCACGCCGUAAACGAUGGAUGCUAGCCGUUGGGACUUACGUCUCAGUGGCGCAGCUAACGCGUUAAGCAUCCCGCCUGGGGAGUACGGUCGCAAGAUUAAAACUCAAAGGAAUUGACGGGGACCCGCACAAGCGGUGGAGCAUGUGGUUUAAUUCGAGGCAACGCGAAGAACCUUACAGGCCUUGACAUGGGUAGUAUGGGGUAGAGAAAUUUACUCCUUCAGUUCGGCUGGCUACCACACAGGUGCUGCAUGGCUGUCGUCAGCUCGUGUCGUGAGAUGUUGGGUUAAGUCCCGCAACGAGCGCAACCCUCAUCCUUAGUUGCCACCAUUCAGUUGGGCACUCUAAGGAAACUGCCGGUGACAAGCCGGAGGAAGGUGGGGAUGACGUCAAGUCUUCAUGGCCCUUACGGCCUGGGCUACACACGUGCUACAAUGGCGAUCACAGAGGGAUGCUAACCCGCGAGGGCAUGCUAACCCCUAAAAGUCGUCCCAGUUCGGAUUGUUCUCUGCAACUCGAGAGCAUGAAGUUGGAAUCGCUAGUAAUCGCGGACCAGCACGCCGCGGUGAAUACGUUCCCGGGUCUUGUACACACCGCCCGUCACACCAUGGAAGUUGGUUCUACCUUAAGCCGAUGUGCGAACCGCAAGGACGCAGUCGACCACGGUCGGGUCAAUGACUGGGGUGAAG
rnacentral:rRNA from 1 species